UACGUAGGGUGCAAGCGUUAAUCGGAAUUACUGGGCGUAAAGCGUGCGCAGGCGGUGAUGUAAGACAGAUGUGAAAUCCCCGGGCUCAACCUGGGAACUGCAUUUGUGACUACAUCGCUGGAGUGCGGCAGAGGGGGAUGGAAUUCCGCGUGUAGCAGUGAAAUGCGUAGAUAUGCGGAGGAACACCGAUGGCGAAGGCAAUCCCCUGGGCCUGCACUGACGCUCAUGCACGAAAGCGUGGGGAGCAAACAGG
rnacentral:rRNA from 1 species